GAUGAAGAACGCAGCGAAAUGCGAUACGUAAUGUGAAUUGCAGAAUUCAGUGAAUCAUCGAGUCUUUGAACGCACAUUGCGCCCGCCAGUAUUCUGGCGGGCAUGCCUGUUCGAGCGUCAUUUCAACCAUCAAGCCUUCGCUUGUGUUGGGGCCCCGCGGCUGCCGCGGCCCCCUAAAUCCAGUGGCGGGCUCGUCGUCGUACCGAGCGCAGUAGACAUCCUCGCUCCGGGAACCCGACGGGUGCCGGCCGUGAAACCCCCCCCAUCAAGGUUGACCUCGGAUCAGGUAGGAAUACCCGCUGAACUUAAGCAUAUCAAUAAGCGGAGGA
rnacentral:misc_RNA from 1 species